GUGCUCAUUUUAGGAGUACAUGACAUUGGUGUAAACAAGAGUUCAUAAAAUAUGUUGAUAUUACUAUGCCCCACUUCAAAACGGACCUCAGAGGAAAAGUGAAGGAGUUUUGGUUAUGAAGGGGCGGGGCUGUUUUCACACCCCAAAACGUCACAGUUACGUUGCAGGAAACGAGUUUCUACAGCUACCCUCCCCCACAUCACACUCGCUGACCAUCAAUUAGGAAACGCGCGCUUUGCUACCUGCACAAAAGGAAGGCGUUGAGAAGAGUGAGCGUACGAGUCAGCAUCAUCGAGAAAACCCCAGAAAGUGACAAAUACUUCAGAAUUAAAGCAGAUGGACAAUCCCACUGAAGAUGGUGAUUAUUCUGACUCAAGUCUUUUUGGAUCAGAUGAGGAAUACAAACCAACUAAGACAUCCUCUGAGUCGAGUGAUGACGAGGAGAUAUUCCAUCCAAAGGUAGAAAAAUUGUUCUCUUAUGAUACAUCCAGUGAAGACUCUACAAGUCAUCAGACAUAUGAAGCAGAGGAGCACAGUCACGUCUGCAAUUCGUAAAGAAGGAAAAGCAUCUCUCCAAAAGAGGGAAGACUGAAUUGGAUGAUUCGAGUCCAGGCGGGGACCCUGGCGGUCCGAUCCUCGGCUGCAGAAGCUAGCUCUUGGGACAUGGAAUGUCACCUCUCUGGCAGGGAAGGAGCCCGAGCUGGUGUGUGAGGCAGAGAAUUUCCGACUGGAUAUAGUCGGACUUGCCUCCACACACAGCCUGGGUUCUGGUACCAGUUCUCUCGAGAGGGGUUGGACUCUCUUCCACUCUGGAGUUGCUCACGGUGAGAGGCGCAGAGCAGGUGUGGGCAUACUCAUUGCCCCCCGCCUCAGUGCCUGUACAUUGGGGUUCACACCGGUAGACGAGAGGGUUGCCUCCCUCCGCCUUCGGGUGGGUGGACGGGUCCUGACUGUUGUUUGUGCAUAUGCACCAAACAGCAGCUCGGCAUACCCACCCUUUUUGGAGUCCUUGGAGGGUGUGCUGGAGAGUACUCCUGCUGGGGACUCCAUUGUUCUGCUGGGGGACUUCAAUGCUCACGUGGGCAAUGACAGUGAUACCUGGAGAGGCGUGAUUGGGAGGA